UGGGGCCCUUUCGUCCCCGGCGUCCGGGCGCCUCGUACCAACCCCCACCUCGGCCUCAGUGCGGCCGCUGCGGCCGGGGCGCAGAAAGGCUAGAGACUCCCCGAGCCCAGCCUGCGCCGCCGGGGCGGCGUGGGGAAGGGUCAGGAUCGCGGGCCGCGAGGAGAAUGGCGUCUCUUUACAUAACGCUUUGUUUGCGUUUCGUUGCUCCGUCUCCGGGAAGCCCCACCUCCUGCCCCUGCGCCGCCGGCCCCGGCAGCCUCUUUAGACGUUAGAGCCGUAGUGCGCCCCGGAAGGCGGCCGGCCGGCCUGGCCCGCACGUCCGCGCUCGCCCGCGCGCCCCCGGGUCGCGCUCUCCGAGGCCGCGGGCCCUCGGCGCGGCCGCCAUCUUGGGAGGCCCUCCUGCCCGAGCUCCUGACGCCCGGAAAUGGCCACGGGGGCUCUGGAGAGCAGUUAUGGUUUCCUGGCCUUUUCCCUGUUCCACGGGCCUAGCCAGACGAGAGGAGGUUGUGGGGACGUGUUUCAUACCUCAGGGAAAGGGCUAACGUGGCGCUCCUCGGCCCCUUUGAUCCCCACAGCGGGGGAGGGCUGGCAGCCAUGUGUCCCGACAAAAUGGCGACACGUGUCGCCUACGCGAAAUUGGGGUGGGCCCGAACGCUCUAGAACGGGCGUCUUCGCACUCUGGGGCCUGCCCCCAGGCCUUCCAGGAUGGGACGGCGGGCCUCUGGCGAGUUCGUUGGCAGAAACUUAGGCCCUCCACCCCUCUUGUUGGGCUUGUGCAUAAAACGCAGGCCUACCCGAUGCUUUUCUUUCUUUUUGAGUAAUGGCCGGCGGGGUCGUGUCCGCGCAGUGCCCAGCCAAGUAUCCAGGCAUCUAGAAACCCGUUUUUCUGGAUCUUGUACAGGCUGUGGUGUUAACUGAUUAAAGACUUGUUGCUAAAACCUUAAGGUUGCUGUGUCUUACUAUUCAGCUGUCCAGUGAUCCGCAAGCUCGCAGUUGUGUCCUCUAAUAGAGUCGAGGGGCCGCCGGUGGUUUUGGGUUUGCCAGUCCAGAUAACAUUUCACUACAAUCCUUUUUUUUUAGUCACAGUCCGCUGACUGCAGUGGGUGUUUAUUUCUCUCUCUUUCUUCCCCCAGCAGAGUAAGACAGACCCAGAAAGAUGAAGGGACUGAUUUAAGGUCGCUCAGUAUGGAGGAUGGAAUCCAUAAACAUCUGAUUUCCUUACUGACCAACACUCCAUGUUCUGAGGAGCCACCCCUGAAGCUACUGAGAUAAUGGAGCAGUGGACUGGAUAGUCCCCUGUAUAUCAUCCAUGAUUCUUCUCAAAUUCAAGUGACCACAGGCUGGUUAAGGGGCUUAAUGAGUCUGGGAAGAAUGGACCUUCAGCCACUGUGGUGGAGCACAUCUUUAAUCCAAGCACUCAGGGAGGUAGAGGCAGCUGGAUCUGGAUGAGUUCAAGACCAGUCUGAUCGACAUAGCAAGCUCCAAGACAGGGCAAGGCUACAUAGUGAGACUCUCUCAAAAACAAAAUAAAGGCCUUGGCACUAUCCCCUGUUAAUGCUGCUUACUGUGGCUCAAGAGUUGGUGUUCUGUUCCUAGCCAUUGAUCGCAGCCUUCUUCAGUUCACAGGGAGAACUUAAUGCUGACGAAUGGGAGACGUGGCCUGGUAACACCAUGCUUCAGGCUGUGACUGUGGAACUAGCGUGCUUGACCUUGGCUCUAGGUGCUUGCUGAGUGACAGAUCGUUAGAACAUGCUCACCGUGCAUACAGAACACAGGUCCUUUAUCUCCUGUAUACCUGAAGGAAAUGAAGCCAGUAUACAAAAGAAUGCCUGAUGGGCUGGCAAGAUGGCUUAGCAGACUCUCGCGAGAGUGGACCUCAACAUGUUGGAAUUUCCCCAGGAAUCUCCUGUUGGGAGAGGAAAAGACUGCACCCUGGGACACCCAGGAGAGGAACUUGUUGCAUGACCUCCUGAAGAUUUGGAGCUGCUGCAGGAGUGGGCAGGGGACUGAACCUUGCAGUCCUGUUCAGUUAUGCAUGUCUCCUGCGUUCUUUUAAAAUCCUGCCCUCUCAUCAGGACCGAGAAGAUGAACGCCAUCUGUCUGUUUGUCCUCCCGACAUGGCUACAUUAACUAAGUCUGCUUUUUUCUGCUUUUCACAAGUAAUAUGGCUCUUUUCAUUGGCUUACUGAGGCUGAGUGGCUGAACCUGGCUUAUUGGGGCACAGGCAGUGCCCCCUGCGUUUGUAACACUAUCAUGUUAAAGAUAGCGAGGAAUACUGUAGUAUGUAUUUUCUCUCCUAGGAAAACUAUAUGGUGGUUUGACCUGUAAUCCAAACCCUUGGGAGUCCGAGGCAGGAAGAUUCUGAGUUUGAGGCCAGCCUGGGCGGUAUAGUAGACCCUGCCUCAAAGCAUUAACUAGAAACUGGCAACCUGAGAACGGAAGGUGGACUACUAGAGAAGAGGAGGGGCAUUGUGGGGAGGGGCAGCAGGGUAGAAGAAGAGGGAGGGCAGCAGAGAGGGUGCUGUGACCCCCUCUCUACUCACUUUUACUGCAUGACAAAUGUCAUGUUACCACCAUCCCCUCACCUAGUCCCAGGGAGAACCCUCUUCCGAUUGCCGGUGUGACUCUCCACUGUUUCACACCCCACAUGGACACAUGAAUGACAUUUCUCCUUUGUCCUCAGCUUACUUCACUUACCAUGAUACCCUCUAGGUCAGUUCAUGUUUUCUCAAAUGAUAGGGUUCCUUUUUUUUUGAGGUUGAGUAAUAGUCAUUACAUCAUAUCUUUAUCCGUUCUUGGAUCAGUGACGCCAUAGCUUGGCUUUUGUGAAUGAUGCUGCAGUGAACUUUGGGGAGGCCACUAUCACUUUAAUGUACUGUUUCCUUUCUUUAAACAUUUUUACUUGAUUUUGUGUGUGUGCAUGCAC